UCUGUGAAGUGGCGAGACGAGAGACUUCACUUGUGGUUGGGGAUUUGGUUAGUAUGGAUGGCGUGUAAGGAUCAAAUUUGGAGGUUAGACCUCGUGUUAGUAAAAAUGUGUGACUUUUGAAUUAUUGAUCACCAAACCUAUCUAGGAGUGUUUGAGAAUAAAGAAGGUAUUAAUCCAAUGGGGUUUACAGCAUAACAUCAUCGUAUCACACGCCAUCCAUGUGAAAUCUUAAAUAACACCUCGAAACACCAAGAGGCCAAUCUCCAACCAUAAGUCACUGGGAGUAGUUACUUGGGGAACAAGCCUUUUGGGGGCAUUCCAGCUCCUUUUCGUAUUAGCACUUGGACCUACAGGAGGCAUGAUUUUUGCACUAUCCUAGUGCUCAUUUCCGGGGAUGCGCCAGCAACCUAUUUAGGAGUCGUUCGGGUUUGUUUGGGAACUACCAAUUUAGUUUACCUAUUUAUAUAACAUAUUUGUAUAUUAUGGUAUUAAGUUCCCAAACUCAUGUAUCAUUUUGCGGUACUGUACGUUGAGCUCUGCGUAUUUGCCCAAAAGGUAUUACUUCGAAUAUUUUAUUGUUUAUUUAGGUCGAUUUCAUAUCAUUAUGUAAAUUUAGGUUGUAUUAUUUGCUUGUUUCCCAAAUAUGUUAUUUAUUCGCUUUAUUUCAUUUGUUCAGUUAAUUCGUCGCUACUUUAUUUUAUUACAUUUGCUCGGGUAAUUUAGGUCAUCGUUUCGGUAUUUAUCUUAGCUUCAUUUUUACCACUUUUAUUAAUGCAUUUGCUUAAUUCUUCAUGGUAUUUUCUCUUCGCCAGGCUUGUGCCUAUUUAUUUAUAUUACUUUUAAUAUUCAUCGGUUUUCAAUUCAGUUGUA